AAAACAGCAAAUUCGCAGUGGUUACCUAUGAUGAUAUAUGCCGCUGCGUCCGUUUUACGACGAGGGAUUUAUUACUGAUUUUUAAUUGAAUACCGCACAAUAAGACGGACCCGCAAUGCGAUAUCCGCACGAGUUUUGUUUAGUAAGUCUGUUAAGCGUAAACUCUAAUUAGUAAGUACAAAAUAAACGUACGAGUGUGUGUAUGGUUAAGGGUAAUUUUAAAAAGUAAUUUUUCACUCGAGUUAUCAGUUUCACGUAAAUGUUUAGCUCAACUUUACUACUCAAAUUCGCAUGUAUUUUAAAAUAAACUCGGCUUACAUAGGUUGUUGUUUGUAUAGUUUUUAUGAUAACGUAACUGAAACUAAGGUAAAAAAAAAAAAAUGUGUUUAUUUGUUCAGAUUUUAUUAAUAAUUGCGAACAUAAAAGUUCUGAACAGCGGGUACGCACAACUUUAUGACUGUAUACAAACGGUGCUCCACUACACGAUACAUACUCUACUCCUACCGAAACUUCAAAGCGGGACGUCGACGCGUUGCCACGGAACUUAAUGGUUUCAACACCGUGAAAUGUAUUCGAAUCGAAUCGUCAUUAUCCGUUUAUGGAAUUCGUUGGCGUUAAAACCGGGUGGCGGUUUCUCUCCGAACAAUAAGAUCGAAAAAAAAAAAAGAAAUAGAUUUUACAAUUUUAGAACAUAAUAUGAUUGCUACAAAGUUUUUACACAAUCAUUUGACUGUAACGUGUGAAACGUUCUGAAAACCCCGUAUUAUAUUACGAUAACGUUUAACGCUGCGAUAAUCUCGGUAACAGCCGUUUACAAUAACGUGACCGAAAAAGGUAUACUAUAUUUGUGUACUGCAGUGACCCCCCCCCAAAAAAAAAAAUCUUACAAUAAAUUCGUACAUUGUAUGUAUUAUUAUUAUACUCUGUAUACAAACUUCCGGACCCCGAGCUCGAAGCAGAACAUAAUAUAUUAUAGGUGCCUAAUACAAAAUAUAUAAUAAAGCGAAAUUUGCAUGAGCAUAAAAAAAAAAAAAAACGCCAUUGUUAAAAAUUAGCUACCUAGUCGGCGAAAAGAUUGCAAUACCGGAUCCUUGUUGGGAUAGGAAUCUUCUAUUUUUUUUUAUUUUUGCGUUUUUUAUUGUUGUUAUUUUUUUUUACGGCGCGGAUAGACCAGUGUUGUCAAAUAUACAAGGAUCGGUUCGCAGAAGCCAACCGCACAUCGCAAUUUUUUUUUUUCCAUAGUUCUGCACGACAAAAGGAAACGCUCCGGCCGUACCCGAAUCUACAGUUUUCUAAAACCGUUCGAUUUAAUCACGAAAAUUCGCAAUACAUUAUGUAUAUUA